CAUACGGGAGGGGAGGAAAGUCCGGGCAACGCAGAGCGCCGCGCUUCCUAACGGGAAGAUUCUCGCGAGGGAAUGGCAAGCGUAACAGAAAACGACCGCCGUCCGCAAGGACGGUAAGGGUGAAAAGGCGGGGUAAGAGCCCACCGCGGCCGUGGCGACACGUGCCGGUCAGUACGUCCCGCGGGUUGCAAGACCAUGUAUACCGGCAGUUGUAGGGCUGCUCGUCCGAUGUCGGGGGGUAGGUUGCUGACGAGCCGUGCGGGUGACCGCCGGCCUAGAUAAAUGACAGAGGCCUUCGCUCGCGAAGGUACAGAACCCGGCUUACAAGCCCUG
rnacentral:RNase_P_RNA from 1 species